AGCAGUAGCCACGGGAAUACGAAGGGUGCAAGCGUUAAUCGGAAUUACUGGGCGUAAAGCGUGCGUAGGCGGUUUGUUAAGUCUGUUGUGAAAUCCCCGGGCUCAACCUGGGAAUGGCAAUGGAUACUGGCUCGCUAGAGUGUGUCAGAGGAUGGUGGAAUUCCCGGUGUAGCGGUGAAAUGCGUAGAGAUCGGGAGGAACAUCAGUGGCGAAGGCGGCCAUCUGGGACAACACUGACGCUGAGGCACGAAAGCGUGGGGAGCAAACAGGAUUAGAUACCCCCGUAGUCCCUGUCUCUUAUAC
rnacentral:rRNA from 1 species